UACGUAGGGAGCAAGCGUUGUCCGGAAUCAUUGGGCGUAAAGCGCGCGUAGGCGGCCUCAUAAGUCCGUUGUGAAAGUCAAAGGCUCAACCUUUGAAAGCCGAUGGAUACUGUGAGGCUAGAGUCCGGAAGAGGCGAGUGGAAUUCCUGGUGUAGCGGUGGAAUGCGCAGAUAUCAGGAAGAACACCAAUGGCGAAAGCAGCUUUCUGGGACGGUACUGACGCUGAGACGCGAAAGCGUGGGGAGCGAACAGG
rnacentral:rRNA from 1 species